AAGGUUAUAUUUUCAGGGAUCGUUUCUACAGUUUGUUACUAGAGAAGUUUCUCUGAGUGUGCAGAGCACUGGAAACCAUGAGGAGAAGACGCAGCCUUCUCUCCUGAGCAUGAAAUUGGCUCCUGGUGUUGCUUCAUUGCAACUGCCAUUCACCACUGGUGGUCGUUCUUCUCUCUCUUUGGGAGAGUAAGGGGGAGAGAAUGCAGUCUGAGUGGU
rnacentral:snoRNA from 1 species